ACAUGUCCUGACCUGCAGACUGUGAUGCCUUCAGGUGUCGACCGGAGCCUACAGACGGCUUGUGUUUGAGGUUCCUUCAGGGAAGCUCCUGAGUGAGCAGAGCACCAUCGACAGAAUCACCUGGGCGACGUGGACCAGCAUUCUGGGAGAGGAAGUUUUGGGAAUUUGGCCCCGGAAUGCCGACAAAGCUGACGUGAUCUGCGCCUGCGUGUCUCACGCCGGACUGAACGUUGUCAGCGGGGACGACUUCGGAUUGGUCAAACUCUUUGACUUCCCCUGCACAGAGAAGUUUGCCAAACACAAGCGCUACCUCGGCCACUCGCCUCAUGUGACCAACAUCCGGUUCUCCCAUGACGACAAAUAUGUGAUCAGCACAGGAGGAGACGACUGCAG